GUGAAAGGAGGAGAGAAAAAAAAAAAAGAAGAAAGAAAGGAAAAAAUGGAUUAAUGCGGUAUCGAUGUGGAGUCAAGAAUGCAUAGCUGUCGCUCUUUGUUUCUAUUUUU
rnacentral:ribozyme from 1 species